rnacentral:rRNA from 1 species
GAUGAACGCUGGCGGCGUGCCUAAUACAUGCAAGUCGAGCGAACAGACGAGGAGCUUGCUCCUCUGACGUUAGCGGCGGACGGGUGAGUAACACGUGGAUAACCUACCUAUAAGACUGGGAUAACUUCGGGAAACCGGAGCUAAUACCGGAUAAUAUAUUGAACCGCAUGGUUCAAUAGUGAAAGACGGUUUUGCUGUCACUUAUAGAUGGAUCCGCGCCGCAUUAGCUAGUUGGUAAGGUAACGGCUUACCAAGGCAACGAUGCGUAGCCGACCUGAGAGGGUGGCUGCCCACCGUGGAACGGAGACCCGGCCCAGCCCCCGAGGGGGGGCGCCAGUAGGGAUUCUUCCGCAAGGGGGGAAAGCCUGACGGAGCACCGCGGGGGGAGGGAUGAAGGUCUUCGUAUCGAAAAACUUUUUUAUGAGGAAAAAAAAAAUGUGUAAGUAACUUUGCCCGUCGUGACGUUCCCUAACAAGAAACCCCCGGCUAACUACGUG